rnacentral:rRNA from 1 species
AGGGUUUGAUUCUGGCUCAGGACGAACGCUGGCGGCGUGCUUAACACAUGCAAGUCGAACGAUGAAGCGCUGUCUUUGUGGCGGUGUGGAUUAGUGGCGAACGGGUGAGUAAUACGCGGGCAACCUGCCCCUCUGCUUCGGGAUAAGCUUUGGAAACGGGGUCUAAUACCGGAUGUGCCUGUCUGGUCGCAUGGCUGGGCGGGGAAAGAUGUUUUUCGGCGGGGGAUGGGCUCGCGGCCUAUCAGCUUGUUGGUGGGGUGACGGCCUACCAAGGCGUCGACGGGUAGCCGGCCUGAGAGGGUGGUCGGCCACACUGGGACUGAGAUACGGCCCAGACUCCUACGGGAGGCAGCAGUGGGGGAUAUUGCACAAUGGGCGCAAGCCUGAUGCAGCGACGCCGCGUGGGGGAUGGAGGCUUUCGGGUUGUAAACCCCUUUCGGCGCGGGACAAGGCUCCGUUUGGCGGGGUUGAGGGUACGCGUCAAAGAAGCGCCGGCUAACUACGUGCCAGCAGCCGCGGUAAUACGUAGGGCGCGAGCGUUGUCCGGAAUUAUUGGGCGUAAAGGGCUUGUAGGCGGCUGGUCGCGUCUGCCGUGAAAUCCUCUGGCUCAACUGGGGGCGUGCGGUGGGUACGGGCUGGCUUGAGUGCGGUAGGGGAGGCUGGAACUCCUGGUGUAGCGGUGGAAUGCGCAGAUAUCAGGAGGAACACCGGUGGCGAAGGCGGGUCUCUGGGCCGUUACUGACGCUGAGGAGCGAAAGCGUGGGGAGCGAACAGGAUUAGAUACCCUGGUAGUCCACGCUGUAAACGUUGGGCACUAGGUGUGGGGGGUCUUUCCGGGUCUUCCGCGCCGUAGCUAACGCAUUAAGUGCCCCGCCUGGGGAGUACGGCCGCAAGGCUAAAACUCAAAGGAAUUGACGGGGGCCCGCACAAGCGGCGGAGCAUGCGGAUUAAUUCGAUGCAACGCGAAGAACCUUA